rnacentral:rRNA from 1 species
GACGAUUAGAGUUUGAUCCUGGCUCAGGAUGAACGCUGGCGGCGUGCUUAACACAUGCAAGUCGAACGAACCUUCGGGUUAGUGGCGGACGGGUGAGUAACGCGUGAGAAUCUGCCCUCAGGAGGGGGAUAACGGCUGGAAACGGCCGCUAAUACCCCAUAUGCCGAGAGGUGAAAUGAAUUUCGCCUGAGGAUGAGCUCGCGUCUGAUUAGCUAGUUGGUGGGGUAAGAGCCUACCAAGGCUUCGAUCAGUAGCUGGUCUGAGAGGAUGAUCAGCCACACUGGGACUGAGACACGGCCCAGACUCCUACGGGAGGCAGCAGUGGGGAAUUUUCCGCAAUGGGCGAAAGCCUGACGGAGCAACGCCGCGUGAGGGAUGAAGGCCUCUGGGCUGUAAACCUCUUUUAUCAAGGAAGAAGAUCUGACGGUACUUGAUGAAUAAGCCACGGCUAAUUCCGUGCCAGCAGCCGCGGUAAUACGGGAGUGGCAAGCGUUAUCCGGAAUUAUUGGGCGUAAAGCGUCCGCAGGCGGCCUUUUAAGUCUGUUGUUAAAGCGUGGAGCUUAACUCCAUUUCAGCAAUGGAAACUGGAAGGCUUGAGUGUGGUAGGGGCAGAGGGAAUUCCCGGUGUAGCGGUGAAAUGCGUAGAUAUCGGGAAGAACACCAGUGGCGAAGGCGCUCUGCUGGGCCAUAACUGACGCUCAUGGACGAAAGCCAGGGGAGCGAAAGGGAUUAGAUACCCCUGUAGUCCUGGCCGUAAACGAUGAACACUAGGUGUCGGGGGAAUCGACCCCCUCGGUGUCGUAGCCAACGCGUUAAGUGUUCCGCCUGGGGAGUACGCACGCAAGUGUGAAACUCAAAGGAAUUGACGGGGGCCCGCACAAGCGGUGGAGUAUGUGGUUUAAUUCGAUGCAACGCGAAGAACCUUACCAGGGUUUGACAUCCUGCGAAUCCCUUGGAAACGAGGGAGUGCCUUCGGGAGCGCAGUGACAGGUGGUGCAUGGCUGUCGUCAGCUCGUGUCGUGAGAUGUUGGGUUAAGUCCCGCAACGAGCGCAACCCACGUCGUUAGUUGCCAGCAUUCAGUUGGGCACUCUAGCGAGACCGCCGGUGAUAAACCGGAGGAAGGUGUGGAUGACGUCAAGUCAUCAUGCCCCUUACAUCCUGGGCUACACACGUACUACAAUGCUACGGACAAAGGGCAGCAAACUCGCGAGAGCUAGCAAAUCCCAUAAACCGUGGCUCAGUUCAGAUCGUAGGCUGCAACUCGCCUACGUGAAGGAGGAAUCGCUAGUAAUCGCAGGUCAGCAUACUGCGGUGAAUACGUUCCCGGGCCUUGUACACACCGCCCGUCACACCAUGGAAGUUGGCCACGCCCGAAGCCGUUACUCCAACCCUUGUGGAGGAGGAUGUCGAAGGUGGGGCUGAUGACUGGGGUGAAGCGUAACAAGGCCGUAAAUCUCUAGAGUCC